CCGCGUCCAGAUAUCCUACCAAAAUGACUUUUGAAUAAGGGUGGGUAAAAUACCUGACCCAAUCCGAUCCGAUCCGACCCAAUCCAAAAAAAUUUAAGUUUGGAUCGGUUCGGGUUGUUAUUGAAACCCGAACGGGUGAAAAAUUGUAAACCCGAUCGGGUUGUGAUCGGGUCAGAUAAAACCCGAUCCGAUCCGAAUACCCAAUCGGAUCGCACCAAAAAAAAAAACUCACUAAACCUAUAAACACAUCACACAUGCACACACUAGACACCACACACACAGGCACACACAAAGUCACAACUCAAAACCAAUUGGCUAAAAAAAAAAUUGACAAAUAAAAAACAAAAUCAAAUUAUAACCCAUGCACACAACCGCACACAAACAAAUCUCGCUGCCUUCACAGCCCUUAUCCUCACAGCCCUCAUCCUUACACUCACGACUUCACACACACACACAUCGCAAAAGCCAAAAGCAAAGCAUCAACUGGCAGCCAACGCAAAGAAGAGAGCGGAGGAAGCGUAACCGGCGCAUGCAACCACCUAACCCGUGACUGGAUCUGCUGCUUCGCGACAUCCGUAGCUACCAGAUCUGCUGUUGCCGGAUAUCUACUGGAUCUGCUGCUGCUGGAUCCGCUGCACUGCUAUCAGAUCUGCUGCUGCUGCCUCCACCAUCACCAAGUUCCACCGCAAACCGGCAACCCGAAUUCUUUUCUUUUUUGAUGUUUUGAUGGUAUAUAAUAAUAUAUUAUAUAUUAUCUGUUAAUUGCUAAGUAUAUGUAUUGUUAAAUGUUAAUAAUAAAAUGAGGGAAAUUCUUGUAUGGAAAAUUUUGGAGCUUAAUUUAUCAAGUCCGUGGAAGUUUAAAUUAUAAGUAUGAAUUGAUUUUUUU
rnacentral:lncRNA from 1 species